CAGUCGCCGCGGUAAUACGGAGGGUGCAAGCGUUAAUCGGAAUUACUGGGCGUAAAGCGCACGCAGGCGGUUUGUUAAGUCAGAUGUGAAAUCCCCGAGCUUAACUUGGGAACUGCAUUUGAAACUGGCAAGCUAGAGUCUUGUAGAGGGGGGUAGAAUUCCAGGUGUAGCGGUGAAAUGCGUAGAGAUCUGGAGGAAUACCGGUGGCGAAGGCGGCCCCCUGGACAAAGACUGACGCUCAGGUGCGAAAGCGUGGUGAGCAAACAGGAUUAGAUACCCGAGUAGUCCCUGUCUCUUAUAC
rnacentral:rRNA from 1 species